GGAUAGGAAGAUAAAAGGCAUCUUUUAUCUUUUAAAAGACCUAGUAAUAGGUAUGCUUUAGGAGGGGCUUGCGCCAUAUUAGUUAGUUGGUAGGGUAAUGGCCUACCAAGACGAUGAUGUGUAGCUGGACUGAGAGGUUGAACAGCCACAUUGGGACUGAGACACGGCCCAAACUCCUACGGGAGGCAGCAGUAGGGAAUUUUCGGCAAUGGAGGAAACUCUGACCGAGCAACGCCGCGUGAAUGACGAAGUACUUCGGUAUGUAAAGUUCUUUUAUCAAGGAAGAAAAGCAAAUGGCGAACCAUUUGUUUGCCGGUACUUGAUGAAUAAGCCCCGGCUAAUUAUGUGCCAGCAGCCGCGGUAAGACAUAAGGGGCAAGUGUUAUCCGGAAUUAUUGGGCGUAAAGGGUGCGUAGGCGGUCUAGUAAGUCAGUGGUGUAAUGGCAACGCUUAACGUUGUCCGGCUAUUGAAACUGCUAAACUUGAGUUAGAUAGAGGCGAGUGGAAUUCCAUGUGUAGCGGUAAAAUGCGUAAAUAUAUGGAGGAACACCAGAGGCGUAGGCGGCUCGCUGGGUCUUAACUGACGCUGAGGCACGAAAGCGUGGGGAGCAAACAGGAUUAGAUACCCUGGUAGUCCACGCCGUAAACGAUGAGUACUAAGUGUCGGGUUAAACCGGUACUGAAGUUAACACAUUAAGUACUCCGCCUGAGUAGUACGUACGCAAGUAUGAAACUUAAAGGAAUUGACGGGACUCCGCACAAGCGGUGGAUCAUGUUGUUUAAUUCGAAGAUACCCGAAAAACCUUACCAGGUCUUGACAUGUUUUUGCAAAAUGAUAGUAAUAUCGUGGAGGUUACCAGAAACACAGGUGGUGCAUGGUUGUCGUCAGCUCGUGUCGUGAGAUGUUAGGUUAAGUCCUAAAACGAGCGAAACCCUUAUCGUUAGUUGCCAGCACGUUAUGGUGGGGACUUUAACGAGACUGCCAAUGAUAAAUUGGAGGAAGGUGAGGAUCACGUCAAAUCAGCAUGCCCCUUAUGACCUGGGCUACAAACGUGAUACAAUGGCUGUUACAAAGGGUAGCUGAAACGCAAGUUCUUGGCCAAUCCCCAAAAACAGUCCCAGUCCGGAUUGAAGUCUGCAACUCGACUUCAUGAAGUUGGAAUCGCUAGUAAUCGCGAAUCAGCAUGUCGCGGUGAAUACGUUCUCGGGGUUUGUACACACCGCCCGUCAAACCACGAAA
rnacentral:rRNA from 1 species